AGUUAAAAUUUGAAUCACGUAAAAAUGAAGUACGUCGAAGUUUAUAAUUUAUAUGAUUUUCUUCAACCGUUUUCGGCACUUCCGUUACCUGAAAAUGUAACGAAUUACACAUAUACGAUUAUAUAUUAAACAAAUAGGCUCCAAGCGCAACAACAAAUUUUGUAAGCUUUUACAAAAGGUCUCAGGGAUAGAAUUUGAAACAUUGCAAAAAAAAAAAAAAUAAAAAACAAAAAGAAACAUUACAUGAAAUACCUUGGCAUCUGGUUGGUUGAUAGAACGUUGAAGCACCGACCUCCAUGCUGCAGGUGCGGUAUGCUCUAAAAUAAUAUGUACAGCAAGGCUCCUUAAUUUAAGGGUUCAACAUGCAUAUUUGCAAUGUACUCGAAAUUAUAAAGCAAUUUAUAAUUUAUUGAAAGUGAUGCGUGAAUUGAGUCGUGUACCAGAUCUUUUCUCUACACUUGUAUUACUUAAAGAACUAGCAGUGCUACUUGCUGAUAACGUCGGUGGCAGUGAAGCCGGACCACUAACGCCACUAUCUGUCGAUUCAUCGAGAGCAUCACCUGAAUCAGGCGUAUUCCCUGC